UACGGAGGGUGCAAGCGUUAUCCGGAUUCACUGGGUUUAAAGGGCGCGUAGGCGGUCAGCACAAGUCAGUUGUGAAAUCUCCGAGCUUAACUCGGAAAGGUCAACUGAUACUGUGCGACUAGAGUGCAGAAGGGGCAACUGGAAUUCUCGGUGUAGCGGUGAAAUGCGUAGAUAUCGAGAGGAACACCUGCGGCGAAGGCGGGUUGCUGGGCUGACACUGACGCUGAGGCGCGAAAGCCAGGGGAGCAAACGGG
rnacentral:rRNA from 1 species